UACGUAGGGGGCAAGCGUUGUCCGGAAUCAUUGGGCGUAAAGAGCGUGUAGGCGGCCAGAUAAGUCCGCUGUGAAAUCUCGAGGCUCAACUUCGAGCUGUCGGUGGAAACUGUCUGGCUAGAGUCCGGAAGAGGAGAAUGGAAUUCCCGGUGUAGCGGUGAAAUGCGCAGAUAUCGGGAAGAACACCCGUGGCGAAGGCGGUUCUCUGGGACGGUACUGACGCUGAGACGCGAAGCGUGGGGAGCGAACAGGAUUAAGAUACCCGU
rnacentral:rRNA from 1 species